UAAUCUGCUGGCCUUCAAUAUGUCAGCCCCCUGCUCUUGAGCGUGGCUGAAGCAUGCGGUCUUGUUUUGGUUGAGUAGCGCUGUCACUUCACAUGCGAUAUGUCUCGAAUUGUCGUGAAAAACCUUCCCAAAAAGAUCAAAGAAGACCGACUUCGGGAGUUCUUCUCUACCAAAGGGACGGUGACUGAUCUGCAACUCAAGUUCACGAAAGAAGGUGUCUUCCGACGUUUUGCCUUCGUGGGAUUCAAAGAUGAGGCCCAGGCCGCUGCUGCCAAGGAGUACUUCAACAAUGCGUACCUGGACACUUCCAAGCUUCAGGUGGAGAUUUGCGCUGCCCUGGGUGAUGCCCAGAAGCCUCGCUCGUGGAGCAAGUACUCCGCAGACAGUUCCGCCUACCAACGUCUCCACCCAGAGACGAAAAAGCCCAAGCCAGUCAAGGAGCCGUCACCAAGGAAAAGUUUUGCAGAUGAAUUCUUGAAAGAUCUGGAAGGCAAUGAGGAGUUUGAAGAGUUCCUUCAAGUGCAUGGUACGCACAACAAAGCCACCUGGGACAAUGACACAUGUGCUCCAACUGUUGAUGGAGAUGCCAAGAAAGCCAAGCCAGCCAAGGUUGUGCCGCCUUCUGACUUGGUAGCCAGUGACAAGGAGGACCAUGACGAAGAGGAAGCUGAAGAUGUCUCCAAGGCUCCUGCAAGCAAUGAGACCAAGAAGAGUGACAAGCAGCAGGUUCCGCAGCAAAAACAAAAGCCCAAGCUACCAGUACAAGAGUUUGCGUACACAUUGAAGGUCAAGGGCCUGCCUUACAAGUGCAAAAGGAAACAAAUCAAGGAUUUCUUCAAACCUGCCAAGGUGGCCAGCAUGCGACUUCCACCAAGGGUCAAAGGCAUUGCCUACCUGGGCUUCCAGAAGGAACAGGAUAUGAAGCAAGCACUGAACAAGCACCACAGCUUCAUGGCUGGACACAGGAUAGACGUUACAAAGUAUGCAAAGCAGGUGGUCCCUGAGAAAAAAUGGCGACAGUUUGAAGACUUGGGUAACCCACAGGAGACACUGGCAGAUACGGGGCGCAUUUUCGUUCGGAACCUGUCCUACACAAUUACUGAAGAAGAGCUGGAGGAACUCUUCAGGAAAUAUGGCCCUCUGGAGGAACUGCACCUGUCCAUUGACCGUGUAACGCGCAAGCCCAAAGGAUUUGCCUUUGUCAGCUUUCUCUUUCCCGAGCAUGCAAUCCGGGCCUUCACGGAACUGGAUGGCCAGAUGCUUCAGGGCCGGCUUCUCCAUCUCUUGCCGGCCAAGGCUAAGAAGUCUGAAGAAGAGGAGGGUCAGAGAACAGAGGCCAAGUCUUACAAAGAUAAAAAAGAAGCGGAGCUCAAGAAGUCCAGUGGGAGGAGUCACAAUUGGAACACCCUUUUCUUAGGAGCCAACGCCCUUGCGGAUGUCAUGGCUGAACGUUAUGCCACCUCUAAGCAAGAAUUGCUUGGCACGGAAACGGGUGAGAGCGUGGCUGUGCGCAUGGCCUUGGGUGAAACCCAAGUGGUGGCUGAGACGCGAGAGUUCCUUGAGAGCAAUGGCGUUGUGCUGGACGCGUUCAGCCGGCCAGCCACGGAGCGCAGCAAGACAGUUAUUCUAGUCAAGAACCUCCCAGCCAAGACGCCACCCAAAGACCUCCACAACGUCUUCGGAAAGUUUGGUAUCCUGACCAGAGUGGUCCUCCCACCUUGGGGAGUAACAGCUCUGAUCGAGUUCCAGGAUCCCACCGAAGCACGGGCUGCAUUUCGGCGGCUCGCUUACUCCAAGUUCAAGCAUGUACCCCUGUACCUGGAAUGGGCACCCACUGGUGUGUUUUCUACUGAGAAGAAGAGUGCAGACACAUCAAAGGCCAAGGUGGAUGGGAAGGCAGAAGCUGCAGAGCAGAAGCAUGCUCAGCAACCUGAGGAGGAAGCGGAAGCAGAGGAGGAAGAAACGCCACCGGAGCCAGACACAACCCUGUUUGUCAAGAACCUCAACUUCUCCACCACCGAGCAGACUGUCCGAGAGCAUUUCGAGCAGUGUGGCCCUGUUCACGAAGUCACCAUUGCAAAGAAGAAGGACACCAAAAAUCCAGGCCAGCUUCUGUCCAUGGGCUACGGCUUUGUGCAGUUCAAGCAGCGGCAGGCAGCAAAGCAGGCCCUCAAGCAGCUGCAACACUCCAAGCUGGACGGACAUGCUCUCGAGCUCAAGAUGUCCACGAGGGCCACCACCAAAGAGGAUGUGGCGGCCGCCCAGCGCAAGAAGGUGACGGAUCUGGGCAAGGAGGGCACCAAGAUCCUGGUGCGCAACAUCCCUUUCCAGGCCAACGAGAAGGAGGUGAAGGAGCUAUUCAGUGUGUUUGGAACCCUGCGGUCUGUCCGGUUACCCACAAAGCUGGCUGCUGGUGGUCGUCAUCGUGGUUUUGGCUUUGUUGACUUUCUCACCAAAAAUGAUGCCAAGCGUGCAUUUGAGGCCCUGUGCCACAGCACCCAUCUGUACGGCAGGCGCUUAGCGCUUGAGUGGGCCGCCACGGAUGACCAGGAGGUGGACACGCUGCGCAAGAAGACUGCUGACCACUUCCUUCGGGGCGGUCCUUCGAGCAAACGCCUCAAGAAGUCCGACCUGAUGGCCACGCUGGACGCUUCCGGUCAGCAGCCAGAUGCCGACUGGAACCUCUAGCUUCACCCGAAGGCCUCCUUCCGCUGUACACAACUGUACAAACUGACGCGAACAGGACUUCCUGGCAAAGAUGCCUGGCCGCUGUGCGUGGACUGCGUGUGUCCGCUCGUAUGUCACUGAGUGAUCAUUUGCUGCCACGUAUCGGUGUCAUCGACGCUGCUGGAGCUCGAGUCAAGAUGCCCUUGUGCGACGCAUAUUGCGCUCCGUUCCAUGGCUGCCCCAGCUUAUCUACUCUUCAUUUGUGCGGAGGCACCGGCCAACAGCAAUGAAGAAAAUAAA